UACUUGAAGAUUUGAGAUGAUGUUGGGGU
rnacentral:piRNA from 1 species